rnacentral:rRNA from 1 species
UACGUAGGGGGCAAGCGUUGUCCGGAUUUACUGGGCGUAAAGAGCGCGUAGGCGGAAAUUUAAGCGUGGCCUGAAAGCCCCCGGCUCAACCGGGGAGUGCGGUUGCGAACUGGAUUUCUUGAGGACGAUAGAGGAGAGUGGAAUUCCCGGUGUAGCGGUGAAAUGCGCAGAUAUCGGGAGGAACACCGGUGGCGAAGGCGGUUCUCUGGGCCUUACCUGACGCUGAGGAGCGAAAGCGUGGGGAGCGAACAGG